UACGGAGGGUGCAAGCGUUAUCCGGAUUCACUGGGCUUAAAGGGUGCGUAGGUGGGCAGGUAAGUCAGUGGUGAAAUCUUCGAGCUUAACUCGGAAACUGCCGUUGAUACUAUCUGUCUUGAAUACCGUGGAGGUGAGCGGAAUAUGUCAUGUAGCGGUGAAAUGCUUAGAUAUGACAUAGAACACCAAUUGCGAAGGCAGCUCGCUACACGAAUAUUGACGCUGAGGUGCGAAAGCGUGGGGAGCAAACAGG
rnacentral:rRNA from 1 species